rnacentral:misc_RNA from 1 species
UUACCGUAGGUGAACCUGCGGAAGGAUCAUUCAUAAUAAGUGUUUUAUGGCACUUUUUUAAAUCCAUAUCCACCUUGUGUGCAAUGUCAGGGUUGAUUUUUCUCUCGAGAGGAUCAACCCCAAACAUCAACUAUAUCUCAACUCUUUGUCUGAAAAAUAUUAUGAAUAAAACAAUUCAAAAUACAACUUUCAACAACGGAUCUCUUGGCUCUC